CUCUAUCUGGCACCCCGCCCGCUGGAUCUUCACACAGAGAAAAAGGAGCGCACCUCAUCAACUGGCGUAACCCAGUCACCCCAAUGAGUCACCCCCACAUCGUCUCCCGGUGAGUUGGCUAUUGGCAUCGGACCAUCGGCUAUAUUAUUAUUUUCUCCUCUAAACAACACUUUGGUUCCUGGGGCAGAGAGGCGAGUCUGAAAGAAGACAUGCUAUGGAAGAAAAAUAGCCCUCAGCUGCACACCCCUCAGCCUCAGCAGCAUCAGCCUCAUCCUCAACACACAGGAGCAGCUAGACCCUAUUGGGGAGCAGCCUCCGUUCAUGCUGCUGGACCAGCAGGAAAUGGAGCAGGAGCCAGGAACAAGCCUGAAAAACCUCUUCCGGGGCAGUGGACGUAGCCCUGGAAUAAGUAACCUAAAAUUCCCUCUUUCAAUUGAUACACAGCCCACCUCCAGUCUGUAGGCAAGACCAUCACAACGGCAAAUUUCUACCUGAGGAACAUACAGCAGUUCUUCAAAUAUUUUUUCGGGAAACCCCGUCGGCCCAGUCUCGCCUGACUGCGAUGGAUGCGGUGAGCGUGCUGCGCACCGUCAAGUGCUUCACAGACAUAACCUGGAACGUUGUCCUGCACCAGCUGGCAGUGAAAAGCCACAAGAUGGCCAUUAUAAUAUCCUGCCGGGGCCAAACUGAUGAUCCCAGAGUUGCUGGGUAAGUGUGCAUCCCUCUUUCCAAAAUAGUCCAUCUCCAACGGAAGCCUGCCGUGCAAAGUGAUGUGUGUUUAUCUUCCCCUCAGUGUUCCCCUCACCAUUUUAACGGCUACUUUGCGGGCUUCACAGUCUCUAUUUACAGUCAUCGCCCGGGGGUACUCGGUAACCUCCGGGUUUGCGAGGUUGAGGAGGCCGCAGUGAGUCUUGUGAGUCUGUUGUUUUUGUAAAUUUUUCCUCUGAAUGAGUGUGUCCGUUUUCUGUGACAGGGAACACAAGUCAUUUGGGGCGGCCCAAAUGUUCUUGGAGAUUGACGAGUUUCGCUGGCUGGAGAGGUGGCUGUAGCUGCGGGCGGCCAGUAAGCCACCAAACCAGCUGUAUUUUGGGAAGGGCCCUUGUUAAAACUUCUUGCACAACCUGCAGGUAGCGUGUGCGGAAAUGGGCCUUAAAAGGUGCCCCAACUUCACCGACCUGAGGACCACUGUGUCUGCUCAUGCCGUUUUAAGGCCAAGAACAACCGGCCUGCCGAUUAGCGGAAGAUGGUGGCCACCUUUAUGUGCUACAACACGGCCACAGCUGACUGCUUCUACGCCCUCAGCCUGAACGUGGCCCAGUCAAAGAUGAUGAGGGAGCAUUUUCACUAGACCCUCACCCCCUACCAGGAGUCAGGGACCUCGGGACUGGAGGGGGAGAGGGAGUUUAUGGCGAGGCUGCAAAAUACACCAGAGAAGGCCGAUCGGGAUGAGCCAGUACGGCAGGCUGAUGGUGGCGUUGACUGUGCUCAAGGCUCAACUCCACCUGUCAAAAAAAGACUUCAGAGAGGGCGAGAAGGACAGCGCAUUGGGUGGCACAAAAGAAUUGCAGCCCUAGACAAAAACACAGUCACGCGUAAAAGUUUUUUUGAAUUGUGUUUUAUAAAUUGGUUAAGAUUAAUUUUUGUAUUAUAAAAUUUUUUUUAAGAUUCCUUUUUUAUUACAUGUUCUAUUUUAGUAUGGAGCUAA